rnacentral:rRNA from 1 species
GAUGAACGCUGGCGGCGUGCCUAAUACAUGCAAGUCGAGCGAACAGACGAGGAGCUUGCUCCUCUGACGUUAGCGGCGGACGGGUGAGUAACACGUGGAUAACCUACCUAUAAGACUGGGAUAACUUCGGGAAACCGGAGCUAAUACCGGAUAACAUGUUGAACCGCAUGGUUCAACAGUGAAAGACGGUUUUGCUGUCACUUAUAGAUGGAUCCGCGUCGCAUUAGCUAGUUGGUAAGGUAACGGCUUACCAAGGCAACGAUGCGUAGCCGACCUGAGAGGGUGAUCGGCCACACUGGAACUGAGACACGGUCCAGACUCCUACGGGAGGCAGCAGUAGGGAAUCUUCCGCAAUGAGCGAAAGCCUGACGGAGCAACGCCGCGUGAGUGAAGAAGGUCUUCGGAUCGUAAAACUCUGUUAUUAGGGAAGAACAAAUGUGUAAGUAACUAUGCACGUCUUGACGGUACCUAAUCAGAAAGCCACGGCUAACUACGUG